rnacentral:rRNA from 1 species
GACGAACGCUGGCGGCAUGCCUAACACAUGCAAGUCGAACGGAGAUUAUUACGGUAAUCUUAGUGGCGAACGGGUGAGUAACGCGUGGGCAACCUGCCCUCUAGAUGGGGACAACAUCCCGAAAGGGGUGCUAAUACCGAAUGUGACAGCAAUCUCGCAUGAGGAUGCUGUGAAAGAUGGCCUCUAUUUAUAAGCUAUCGCUAGAGGAUGGGCCUGCGUCUGAUUAGCUAGUUGGUGGGGUAACGGCCUACCAAGGCGAUGAUCAGUAGCCGGUCUGAGAGGAUGAACGGCCACAUUGGGACUGAGACACGGCCCAGACUCCUACGGGAGGCAGCAGUGGGGAAUCUUCCGCAAUGGGCGAAAGCCUGACGGAGCAAUGCCGCGUGAGUGAUGAAGGAAUUCGUUCCGUAAAGCUCUUUUGCUUAUGACGAAUGUGCAGAUUGUGAACAAUGAUCUGUAAUGACGGUAGUAAACGAAUAAGCCACGGCUAACUACGUG